GAAAAACAUCCCCACAGCAUGAGGCUGCCACCACCAUGCUUCACUGUUCAAUCAUUGUCUCAUCAGACCAGAGUAUUUUGUUAUCAUGGUCUGAGAAUACUUCAGGUGCCUUUUGGCAAACUCCAGGUGGGUUGCCAUGUGCCUUUUACUAAGGAGUGGCUUCCCUCUGGCCACUCUAC